rnacentral:rRNA from 1 species
UUAGAGGAAGUAAAAGUCGUAACAAGGUUUCCGUAGGUGAACCUGCGGAAGGAUCAUUACCGAGUGAGGGCCCUUUGGGUCCAACCUCCCACCCGUGUUUAUUUACCUUGUUGCUUCGGCGGGCCCGCCUUAACUGGCCGCCGGGGGGCUUACGCCCCCGGGCCCGCGCCCGCCGAAGACACCCUCGAACUCUGUCUGAAGAUUGUAGUCUGAGUGAAAAUAUAAAUUAUUUAAAACUUUCAACAACGGAUCUCUUGGUUCCGGCAUCGAUGAAGAACGCAGCGAAAUGCGAUACGUAAUGUGAAUUGCAAAUUCAGUGAAUCAUCGAGUCUUUGAACGCACAUUGCGCCCCCUGGUAUUCCGGGGGGCAUGCCUGUCCGAGCGUCAUUGCUGCCCUCAAGCCCGGCUUGUGUGUUGGGCCCCGUCCUCCGAUUCCGGGGGACGGGCCCGAAAGGCAGCGGCGGCACCGCGUCCGGUCCUCGAGCGUAUGGGGCUUUGUCACCCGCUCUGUAGGCCCGGCCGGCGCUUGCCGAUCAACCCAAAUUUUUAUCCAGGUUGACCUCGGAUCAGGUAGGGAUACCCGCUGAACUUAAGCAUAUCA